rnacentral:rRNA from 1 species
CAAUAGCGUAUAUUUAAGUUGCUGCAGUUAAAAAGCUCGUAGUUGGAUUUCUGGUCGAAGCAGCCGCUCGGCUUCUAGUAAGUUUGUAGCAGGCGCUUCGUCCAUUUUUGUAAAGACUAUGUCUGUCAUUAAGUUGGUGGGCAUAGGACUUGCAUCAUUUACUGUGAGCAAAAUAGAGUGUUCAAAGCAGGCUUAGGCCAUGAAUAUCUUAGCAUGGAAUAAUAAGAUAAGACCUUGGUCUAUUUUGUUGGUUAGCAUUCCGAGGUAAUGAUUAAUAGGGAUAGUUGGGGGUAUUCGUAUUCAAUUGUCAGAGGUGAAAUUCUUGGAUUUAUUGAAGACGAACUACUGCGAAAGCAUUUACCAAGGAUGUUUUCAUUAA